rnacentral:rRNA from 1 species
CAAUAGCGUAUAUUAAAGUUGUUGCAGUUAAAAAGCUCGUAGUUGGAUUUCUGGCCGGGCACCGAUGUCCGCUGAUUGCGUGCGCAGAGGUGCCCCGCCAUCCUUCUGUUAACCCCGCCUGCGGAUUCACUUCCCGGCGGGGGGCGUCAGAUAUUUUACCUUUGAGAAAAUUAAGAGUGUUUCUAGGCAGGCUUGCGCCGGAAUACAUUAGCAUGGAAUAAUGGAACAGGACUUCCGCCUCUUCUGUUGGUCUGAGGGGUGGAAAGUAAUGAUUAAUAGGGAUAGUUGGGGGCGAUUAGUACUUAACUGUCAGAGGUGAAAUUCUCGGAUUAGUUAAAGACUAACUUAUGCGAAAGCAUUUGCCAAGGAUGUUUUCAUUAAUCAAGAACGAAAGUUAGGGGAGUCAAAGACGAUUAGAUACC